ACUACUUAGGCUGAAUUAUUUUAGAAAUUUGUUGUAUGCAUGGAGUAAUUACAUUAAGGGGCCGUUUAGUUGGAUGCAGUUAUAAAAACAGUGUAGUUGGAAGUACAUACAGUUACAAAUGCUGCAGUAAUAACUACACUCAGUAUGUUUGGUUUUAUAUAGUUGCAACUGUUGCGAUUAUAUUUUUUCUAUUUGGUAGGCUGCAGUCGAGAUUUAUAUUUGUAAAUUCUAUUAAUUUUUUGAUAGAAAUGUGAAAUUAUCUCUUCUGAACAUAACAUAAUCAUGAGAUCUUUAAUUAUUGAUUAAGACUUUUAUAUCCAUAUAUAAUUUAUAUAUUAUAAAAUUAUGUAUGAAUUUAAUAAAUUUUAAAUACAAAUAUAUUAUAAAUUUGGUCAAAACAAAAAUUAAAGCAUUAUUGAACUAGCAGACCGGAAAGAAAUGAAGCGUAUGAAAAAAAAAUUAUUGAACCCUCACAGACAUUAUUAAACUCUAGCAGAUUUCAUGAAUAGGUAUUCUUGGAAAAAAAAAAAGAGUUUAAAAAAAGAAGCGUAUAAAAAAAUUUAUUGAACCCUAACAGAUAUUAUUAAAAUCCUAGCAGAUUUCAUGAAUAGGUAUUAUUGAAAAAAAAAAGUUAAAAGAAAAGCGUAUGAAAAAAAAAAUCGCAUUUUAUUUAUUUUUUUAAUGGGUGAGCUGACUUCGGCUCAACUGCUGCAGUUGAUACAACAACCAAAUUGACUACAGUACCAAUUGCUGCAGUUGGGCCUUCUUGUGCAGAUGCAAUUGCUGUAGUUAGCUACACCAAACCAAACAAAAAUUUAAUAGAUACAUGCAUUUCUAACUGCAGUUGGAAAUACGUGCAACCAAACGGCCACUAAACAAAUUUCAUCGUGCAACUCGAAUUGAAGGAAAAAAAAAGAAGAAAAUCUACUAAAAGAGACUAUAUUAUAAAAAAUAAAGAAGAUCGAUAUAUAGAAUUGUAUGAUGUAGUUUGAUGAGGCCGUUAAAAUAUUUAAUGCUUUAAUGAUAAAAGGGAAAACUUUAAAAAACCCCCUGUAGUUUCGUACUUUUUCAUUUUAGUAUCUUGUGGUUUAAAGUGUAUCAAGUUAGUACCCUGUGGUUUCGCACUUUCUCACUUUAGUACCCUGUGGUUUAAAGUGUAUCAAGUUAGUAUUUUGUGGUUUUAUUUUUGUAUCACGUUAGUACCCUAUGGUUUUAUUUUUGUAUCAAAUUAGUACCCUGUGGUUUUUAAAGCACAGGAUACUAGUGAAAAAGUGCGAAAGCACAGGAUACUAAAGUGAGAAAGUGCGAAACCACAGGAUACUAAAGUGAGAAAGUGCGAAACCACAUGGUACUAACUUGAUACACUUUAAACCACAGGGUACGAAAGUGAAAAAGUGCACAACCACAUAGUACUAACUUGAUACACUUUAAACCACAGAGUACUAAAGUGAGAAAAAGUGAAACCACAAAGGGGGUAUUUGAAGUUUUCCCAUGAUACAUAAAGAAUAAGUGAUAAAAUUGAAAAAAAGGUAGGAAGGAUUCUGAGAUAAUUUAAAAUUGAAAGUUUAUAAUCUAAAAGUUUGAUUUCAUAAGUAUCGUAGGUGAUUUUGUUGAAAAUUAAAAAUUUGAAUAAUUGCAAAUUAAAAUUUUACUAUUGAAAAUUUUAAUUAAUUUAACAUUCAAAGUUUCAUAAUCUUAGCCUCCGUUUGGUUCGGGGUUAAGUAAAAGCUAGUUAUUGCAGGGAUAGGGUUAAGUUCAGAGUUAAGGUGGGGUUAGAGUAAUUUUGUGUUUUGUUAAGAAUUGGAUUUAGUCUAGGAAUAAGCAAAAUAUUGUUUGGUUGGAGUAGAGAGAAUAAGAAGGAUAAUGGUUGGUAAAGAGAUAAAAAGACCAAAAUACCCUCAUAUUAAUCUAUUAAAAGAAAAGCUUUUAUUUUUUGCAUUUAAAUUUUAUGAUUGCAAUUUAUUUUGAGGAGUCAAAUUAAUUUAAUUUGAGUGUAAUUUGUUACCAAAAAUUAUUUUUCACUACUCUUUUGUGACUUUGAAAUUACCAAAAUUUUACGAACAACUAUUUUAAAUUUUUCUUAAGUUCAAAUUUCACGAACAAUUGCAUUUCACAAACUAUUUUAAUAUUUUACAAAUAAUUGCAUUUUAACCCUCUAAAAACACUAAUUUUCAACAUUUCAAUUUCAGCCCCUAGCAGAGGUGAGUACCGGUAUGCGAUUUCAAACCCGGUUUGUGCCGAUGACACUUUUACUUCCGAAACUCACUUCUAACCAUCCCAACGCGUACAAAGCAACUUUUGCACUUCACUUAUCACUCUCAUACGACACGUUGAUCAGUUUGAUAAAAAUUAGCAUUAUGAUUCGGAUAUUCGAUAUAAUAUACAAAUAUUUAAAUACCUCAAGCCAAUCUGCACAUUAACGAACAGUUACAAAGAUAACAACACAUUGAAUAAAAAAAAAUUACAUAUACAACCAAAAUAAUUUGAAAGAGUACAACUAUAUAACAGA
rnacentral:lncRNA from 1 species